UACAUGGGGUGCAAACGUUGCUCGGAAUUAUUGGGCGUAAAGAGCGUGUAGGCGGCCAGACAGGUCCGUUGUGAAAACUCGAGGCUCAACCUCGAGAUGUCGAUGGAAACCGUCUGGCUAGAGUCCGGAAGAGGAGUGUGGAAUUCCUGGUGUAGCGGUGAAAUGCGCAGAUAUCAGGAAGAACACCUAUGGCGAAGGCAGCACUCUGGGACGGUACUGACGCUGAGACGCGAAAGCGUGGGGAGCGAACAGG
rnacentral:rRNA from 1 species